rnacentral:sRNA from 1 species
UCGCCGAGAGACUUCCUCUUCGUUAAGUCGUCCUUCCCAACAUGGCGCAGUCUAUUAACAUCACGGAGCUGAAUCUGCCGCAGCUAGAAAUGCUCAAGAACCAGCUGGACCAGGAAGUGGAGUUCUUGUCCACGUCCAUUGCUCAGCUCAAAGUGGUACAGACUAAGUAUGUGGAAGCCAAGGACUGUCUGAACGUGCUGAACAAGAGCAACGAGGGUAUGGGGUAGGCGGGUGAGGGUAACCUAAAGUGGCGAACCUGCUUCUCUCGUCCCACCUCCUAACCCAGUUUUUCUUAUCUGAAACGAGAAAAUCCAUUACGUAUCGUAUACCGCUUCAUGAACCCUUUGCAUGUUGCCUGCCUAGAAUUGAAAUGUACAGGACAUUCCUCUGCUCCUAUUGCCCCUGUUUCCGUUCUUUUCACACUGUCUGUGGGUGCUGUGCCCUGUUGGAACUCUCUUUAACGUCUUACGUUGGAGCCGCUAACCUUCCCCAGGUGUUUGUCUUCAUUGCUUUCACAGGGAAAGAAUUACUCGUCCCACUGACGAGUUCUGUAUCCUUUCCACAGGAACGGCUACCUGCUGCCUUCUCCCUUUCUCCUU